rnacentral:lncRNA from 1 species
UUUGAUUAAUUAGUAUAAGGAUUUUUACUAUGCUACUUAGAGUUUUCUAUUCCUUUAUGCAUUCUUUUUGCUUUUGUAAUUCUGGUUCUUUCACGAUAUUACAACACUUUUGUUUUUAAUUAAUGUGCUAUAGUUUGGUUUUACAAAAUUUUAAGAUUUUGUUUAAUUUCUUUGCUAGGAAUCAUGAAAGUGGAGAUGGAAAAUUCAACAACGACUGAAUCGUCUGUACCUGUUUCUGAUAUUCAAGAUCAAAACCCUCUAGUUUCGUCCCAGCCAACUCAACCACCGGUUAUUACUCCUGUCUUGCCACCUCUGGCUCCAAUUCCUACAGCUCCUUCCUCUCUUGUCCGACCUCUGGCACCGCUCCCAA